rnacentral:rRNA from 1 species
GGCGACUGAACCGGGAACAGCUCAGCGCAUAACCUCGUUGCCGAUAAAAAGGUGCGAGGGGUGUUGCGUUUCAGAGGGUCUAGCACGCCGUCCCAUACCACCUAAGUCAUGUUUGGAAUGCAGCUCAUUACCCGAGGAGGGUGAUAGGCCCGUAUGGUGGCACCCGUGAGGGCAUACAUGGGGCGGUCGGAAAGGGCCUCUCUGUAGAGUCGGGUUGCUUGAAACGGCAGCCCAAAGUAGGUGGUAAGCUCCAUCUAAGGCUAAAUAUGACCACGAGACCGAUAGCGAACAAGUACCGUGAGGGAAAGUUGAAAAGAACUUUGAAGAGAGAGUUCAACAGUACGUGAAACCGUUAAGAGUCUAAACGGAUGGUACCUCGAAGAUCGAAAUGAGGGGAUUCAGCUCGUCGGCGUUGGCACGGGGUGGGGGUUUAAAGUGACUCAAUGAUAUUGCAUCUUGGGCGCCCCUUGCUUUCGUCGCUGGCGUGGGCGGGCGUAUUUCGCCUCGUAGUAGGUCGCCGCGACCCGUUGCUUGGGGACGUCUAAGGCCCGGUCGGACUGGUACCUCGCCACCUCUCCUGCUAGUUUCACUUCGGUGGGCUAGUUGGGGCUCAUAGGGGUGACGGGGGAAUCCACCGGUGAAUUCCUGACGGCCCUGCGACGGUCGGUACAGAGAGCCCUAGGGCUCUCGCGGCGUGUACCAGUCGGUGGACCAUCCGCCCCGUCUUGAAACACGGACCAAGGAGUCUAACAUGUGUGCGAGUCAUUGGGCUAACUAAACCCAAAGGCGUAAUGAAAGUGACAUUAGGAGUAGUAGUUUUUCUGCUGCUUCUGGGGCUGAUCCCCGGCCGGUUGUCAUUGCCUGAGGCCUCUCUGAGCUCUGGGGGGAGUGAGAACCUUUCCUCCUCUUAAUAACCUCAGAGAGGUUGAUGGUAGUGUGCGAAGGCCUUCGCCUGUUUUAUGAGGGGGGCGCAAGCCCGGGACUUGCCAUAGUACGCUCCGCUGUGGUUCGUGGGUUCGCCUGCGUGCUGCAAGCGGUUGCAGUCGGCAAGUACCAUGAGCAGACAUGUUGGGACCCGAAAGAUGGUGAACUAUGCCUGGCCAGGAUGAAGCCAGAGGAAACUCUGGUGGAGGUCCGCAGCGAUUCUGACGUGCAAAUCGAUCGUCAGAGCUGGGUAUAGGGGCGAAAGACUAAUCGAACCAUCUAGUAGCUGGUUCCCUCUGAAGUUUCCCUCAGGAUAGCUGGUACUCAUGUGAUGAAUUUCAUCCGGUAAAGCGAAUGAUUAGAGGUCUUGGGGACGAAACGUCCUCAACCUAUUCUCAAACUUUAAAUGGGUGAGAUGCCGAGCUUGCUUAAAAAGUGAAGCUCCGGCGAUUAAUCAGAGUACCUAGUGGGCCACUUUUGGUAAGCAGAACUGGCGCUGUGGGAUGAACCAAACGUCGAGUUAAGGGGCCUAAAUGAAUGCUCAUAAAGAACCCACGAAAGGUGUUGGUUGCUAUAGACAGCAGGACGGUGGCCAUGGAAGUUGGAAUCCGCUAAGGAGUGUGUAACAACUCACCUGCCGAAGCAACUAGCCCUUAAAAUGGUAUGGCGCUCAAGCAUUCUCCCGAUACUCGACCGUCGGGGCACAACGGGCACGCCAAUGCGAGUCUUGAAGCCCCGACGAGUAAGAGGGUCGCGGUGGUGUGCGCAGAAGGGUCCGGCGUGAGCCGGCCUGGAGCCGCCACUGGUGCAGAUCUUGGUGGUAGUAGCAAAUAGUCGAGAGAGACGCCCUUGAAGACCGAUGUGGAGUAGGGUUCCAUGUGAACAUCAGUUGGACAUGGGUUAGUCGCUCCUAAGCCCAAGGCGAAGGCCUUAUCCCACGCUGAGAGGCAAUUUGAAUCAGAGGGGUACCGAGACGAUGAGUGGCACUCUCGGAUAGUCAACUGUUUCGGGAGGGGGGUUGAGGAUUUGGGUUUGGCCUUAGGUGGCCACUGCAGGGCGAGCAUGGAUUCUGGGCCCUGUGUGCACCUUGUCUGUCAAGCUCCAGGGGCUGUUCCUGUGUGCCUGGUCCUCUUCCCUUUCUCCCCCUCGUUAGGCUGAAUAGUCUUGCAGACAAUUGCCGGUGGGGAGUUCGUGGCGAAAGGGAAUACGGUACUUAUUCCGUAACCUGACCUGGAACGCCCUGGUCCUCGGGCUGGGGCGAUGCAGGACGCGGUAACGCAUACUUGCCUGCAUUUGUCGGCGGGGGUCCGGGAAAGAGUUUUCUUUUCUGUUUAAGGCGCCGUGAGCCCUGGAAACCACUCUCAGAGAGAAAGGGCAAAGGUAACACGGGUCUGCCGAAGAGUGCCGCGGUUCUUGUGGCAUCCCGCGUACUUCCGCCGGCCCUUGAAGAUGCAUGGUUGGUACCUGCACAACAGGUGAAGCGGUAUCCCAGAGCCGUGAUGUACCUGUUUUCGGGUCAGUGCGUACCCAUAUCCGCAGCAG